rnacentral:misc_RNA from 1 species
GAUGAAGAACGCAGCGAAAUGCGAUAAGUAGUGUGAAUUGCAGAAUUCAGUGAAUCAUCGAAUCUUUGAACGCACAUUGCGCCCUUUGGUAUUCCUUAGGGCAUGCCUGUUCGAGCGUCAUUUGAACCCUCAAGCUCAGCUUGGUGUUGGGUGUCUGUCCCCGCCUCCGCGGGGACUCGCCUCAAAAUCAUUGGCGGCCGGUACGUUGGCUUCGAGCGCAGCAGAAACGCGAACUCGAGGCCCGGCGGAUCGGCGACCAGAAGUCUCUUCUUCACAGUUUGACCUCGGAUCAGGUAGGGAUACCCACUGAACUUAAGCAUAUCAAUAAGCGGAGGA